rnacentral:lncRNA from 1 species
UUUUUUUGAUAUAUAUAUACAAACAACAAACACAUUAAAAAUGAACACCCUGGUAUAAGUUAUAACCAUCCAUUUGCCUACUCUUCGCUUAUCUCUAAGACUUGCAUAGUCUCUCUGUUUUUCCAUAAUAUCUAUUACUACACACUACUUACAAACGUACCCCAUGUCUUGGAUAAUCUCCAGAAAGCCAAACAAUCUCACAGAAGCUGAAGCUGACAUUAAUACUACAAACAAGCCGCCCAUAAAAAAAGAUGAAGAAGAAAAUAAUAAUAAUAGCAUAAGCAGCCAUUUGUACUUGAAGCCCGUUCACACCUCAGGAACACUAGACAAACAAGUCGUCCUCCGCCGCAUUCGCCACCACAAGCGCGUCAACAACCUCCGAACCAUCGCCAAUUCUCUCCUCGGCUCUCUCUUCCCUUCCAAAAAGACUAAGGAAGAUCAUAAUAACACCGUCGUCGUUAAAGUCGACGAGACGACGACGAGGUGGAUCGAUAACGCUUUUGCGGCUCCUUAGUUAUUCGCCGGUGGGUUAGUUAGUGUUAACUGUUAAGUUAACUGGCAACAUUUUAUGGUGUCUUUGGUAAGAUGUAACUUACCUGUCAGCUAAUCAGCUACUUUUUGUAAAUAUUUUUGUUUGCUAAGAUGUCCCUUAAUUUCUCUAUAUUUUUAUAAAUAAAAUUUAUUGGUUAUCUCAUGUAAUUCAAAAUAAG